AGACCCGAAACCCGGUGAUCUAGCCAUGGGCAGGUUGAAGGUUGGGUAACACUAACUGGAGGACCGAACCGACUAAUGUUGAAAAAUUAGCGGAUGACCUGUGGCUGGGGGUGAAAGGCCAAUCAAACCGGGAGAUAGCUGGUUCUCCCCGAAAGCUAUUUAGGUAGCGCCUCGUGAAUUCAUCUCCGGGGGUAGAGCACUGUUUCGGCUAGGGGGCCAUCCCGGCUUACCAACCCGAUGCAAACUGCGAAUACCGGAGAAUGUUAUCACGGGAGACACACGGCGGGUGCUAACGUCCGUCGUGAAGAGGGAAACAACCCAGACCGCCAGCUAAGGUCCCAAAGUCAUGGUUAAGUGGGAAACGAUGUGGGAAGGCCCAGACAGCCAGGAUGUUGGCUUAGAAGCAGCCAUCAUUUAAAGAAAGCGUAAUAGCUCACUGGUCGAGUCGGCCUGCGCGGAAGAUGUAACGGGGCUAAACCAUGCACCGAAGCUGCGGCAGCGAACGUAUCACCCAAGACAACUUUACGGAGUUGACGAUUGACGGAGCGAAGCGACGUCAAAGCGUUCAUUAAAGUCGAGUUGGCUUAGGGAUACGUUCGUUGGGUAGGGGAGCGUUCUGUAAGCCUGUGAAGGUGUGUCGUGAGGCAUGCUGGAGGUAUCAGAAGUGCGAAUGCUGACAUAAGUAACGAUAAAGCGGGUGAAAAGCCCGCUCGCCGGAAGACCAAGGGUUCCUGUCCAACGUUAAUCGGGGCAGGGUGAGUCGACCCCUAAGGCGAGGCCGAAAGGCGUAGUCGAUGGGAAACGGGUUAAUAUUCCCGUACUUGGUGUUACUGCGAAGGGGGGACGGAGAAGGCUAUGUUGGCCGGGCGACGGUUGUCCCGGUUUAAGCGUGUAGGUGUGUGUUCCAGGUAAAUCCGGUUCACUUUAACACUGAGGCGUGACGACGAGGCACUACGGUGCUGAAGCAACAAAUGCCCUGCUUCCAGGAAAAGCCUCUAAGCAUCAGGUAACAUCAAAUCGUACCCCAAACCGACACAGGUGGUCAGGUAGAGAAUACCAAGGCGCUUGAGAGAACUCGGGUGAAGGAACUAGGCAAAAUGGUGCCGUAACUUCGGGAGAAGGCACGCUGACACGUAGGUGAAGUGAUUUACUCAUGGAGCUGAAGUCAGUCGAAGAUACCAGCUGGCUGCAACUGUUUAUUAAAAACACAGCACUGUGCAAACACGAAAGUGGACGUAUACGGUGUGACGCCUGCCCGGUGCCGGAAGGUUAAUUGAUGGGGUCAGCGUAAGCGAAGCUCCUGAUCGAAGCCCCGGUAAACGGCGGCCGUAACUAUAACGGUCCUAAGGUAGCGAAAUUCCUUGUCGGGUAAGUUCCGACCUGCACGAAUGGCGUAAUGAUGGCCAGGCUGUCUCCACCCGAGACUCAGUGAAAUUGAACUCGCUGUGAAGAUGCAGUGUACCCGCGGCAAGACGGAAAGACCCCGUGAACCUUUACUAUAGCUUGACACUGAACAUUGAGCCUUGAUGUGUAGGAUAGGUGGGAGGCUUUGAAGUGUGGACGCCAGUCUGCAUGGAGCCGACCUUGAAAUACCACCCUUUAAUGUUUGAUGUUCUAACGUGGACCCGUUACCCGGGUUGCGGACAGUGUCUGGUGGGUAGUUUGACUGGGGCGGUCUCCUCCUAAAGAGUAACGGAGGAGCACGAAGGUUGGCUAAUCCUGGUCGGACAUCAGGAGGUUAGUGCAAUGGCAUAAGCCAGCUUGACUGCGAGCGUGACGGCGCGAGCAGGUGCGAAAGCAGGUCAUAGUGAUCCGGUGGUUCUGAAUGGAAGGGCCAUCGCUCAACGGAUAAAAGGUACUCCGGGGAUAACAGGCUGAUACCGCCCAAGAGUUCAUAUCGACGGCGGUGUUUGGCACCUCGAUGUCGGCUCAUCACAUCCUGGGGCUGAAGUAGGUCCCAAGGGUAUGGCUGUUCGCCAUUUAAAGUGGUACGCGAGCUGGGUUUAGAACGUCGUGAGACAGUUCGGUCCCUAUCUGCCGUGGGCGCUGGAGAACUGAGGGGGGCUGCUCCUAGUACGAGAGGACCGGAGUGGACGCAUCACUGGUGUUCGGGUUGUCAUGCCAAUGGCACUGCCCGGUAGCUAAAUGCGGAAGAGAUAAGUGCUGAAAGCAUCUAAGCACGAAACUUGCCCCGAGAUGAGUUCUCCCUGAGACUUAGAGUCUCCUGAAGGAACGUUGAAGACGACGACGUUGAUAGGCCGGGUGUGUAAGCGCAGCGAUGCGUUGAGCUAACCGGUACUAAUGAACCGUGAGGCUUAACCUUACA
rnacentral:rRNA from 1 species